CAGAACAGCUGUAGUCCAUAUGAAUCACACAUGAAAGGAAAAUCCAAAUUUCCUUAUCAUGUACAUUGAAGCACAUUAAAAAGGGGGUGAUACUGAAUUAAACAAAAAGGGAAAUUUCUCAUUCACUCGUAAAAUCAAAUUGAAGAGCCAUAAUCUCAUUCCUUGCUUAUAAAUAGCAAUCAUUCAACAAAAAAAAGGGGGGAGAUUACACGCAAAGAAGAAAAAUCACCGUGAGAAAAUUACCCGUAGAACUAAAAGCUAUACAACAACCAGAAACAAAAAAACUUAAUCUAAUAGCCACCGCCUCCAUAUUCAGCAACACAGACCUUGCACCAAACACAGAAGAAUCUCCGAGAGAACCACUGAGAAACUAGAACCGAAAAUAACAUCUAAACAGCAACUUUACCCAAACCGCAAAAAGCCAAUAGCAAGAGAAAGUUUUCUAACUCGUGGAACUCACUGCAGUCCAGAUAACUCUUUUCCUUAAUUUUCCAGCCUCUGAUUGUUGUAUGUAGGAUGUAUUUGUUUGAUUUUUGAACUGGGUUCGUAGUAAAAAGAUAAAAAAAACGAAUAGAUCUAAAGCUUUUUGUUUGAAUCUGUUUAGUUGGGUUUUGCGGUUUUGAGAGCCUAAUUCAGGUCUAAAAUUAGUAAUUAAGAACUUGGGAAGAGAUUUGGGAAUUUUUUUUUUAAAAAAAAAAAAGGAAAAAAGGGGUUUCCGGUGGCGCCGUGCCGGUUCGGCAGCC
rnacentral:lncRNA from 1 species